rnacentral:scRNA from 1 species
GUUGUCCAGAGGGUCAGCCAUUUGGAGCUUGG